GUCUCCGUAGUUUAGAUGGACAAAACAUUAGGUUCCGAACCUAAAAAUCGGGAGUUCGACUCUCCCCGGAGAUA
rnacentral:tRNA from 1 species